rnacentral:misc_RNA from 1 species
GAUGAAGAACGCAGCGAAAUGCGAUAAGUAGUGUGAAUUGCAGAAUUCAGUGAAUCAUCGAAUCUUUGAACGCACAUUGCGCCCCAUGGUAUUCCGUGGGGCAUGCCUGUUCGAGCGUCAUUUACCCCCUCAAGCUCCGCUUGGUGUUGGGCGUCUGUCCCGCUUCGCGCGCGGACUCGCCCCAAAGGUAUUGGCAGCGGUCGUGCCAGCUUCUCGCGCAGCACAUUGCGCUUCUCGAGGCACCGGUGGGCCCGCGUCCAUCAAGAUCACCCCCCCAGUUUGACCUCGGAUCAGGUAGGGAUACCCGCUGAACUUAAGCAUAUCAAUAAGCGGAGGA